GCGGGAGUGGUGGAAUCGGUAGACACGCAGGAUUUAGGUUCCUGUGCCUUCGGGCGUGGGGGUUCAAGUCCCCCCUUCCGCACGA
rnacentral:tRNA from 3 species